UUUAUUUAUGUCAAAGGUAGUUUCAGAGAGAAAGGUCUUCCAUCUGCUGGGCCACACAAUAACUGGAGCUGGGCUGAUCUGAAGCUAGGAGCCAGGAGCUUUGUUGGAAUCUUCCGUGGGGAUACUGGGAACCAAACACCUGGGCCACCCUCUACUACUUUCCCAGGCCAUAGUAGAGAGCUGGAUUGGAAGAGGAGCAGCCGGGACUAGAACCUGCUAUGCCACAGCGGCAGCCCCUUUAAGCAUGUUUCUAUAAAAGUCAAGGAGUUUUAUGUGUACUUCAUGGAAAGAAUCAGAAAGAAAAAAUACCUCUCCUAUACUUUGCCUGAAGCACAAAUCCAUUAAUGUUGGAUUUUUGAACAGGCAUAUAGAUUACCUCCUGUUCUGGAGCUACUUUCCAUCUAUAUUAAAGCACUCCUAAGAAUUAUCUUACUGUGUUAGGAUUGAAUUUAGUUAGUCCUCUUUCUCCUUCCUACUUUUCUUGUUACUAGCCAUAAAUUUUCCUUUGCCUAUCACUUUACCUCUCUUUCCUUGCUUGUGCCAGUAUUACAUCAAAGACAUGAAAAUAUCCCCUAAAUCUCGUUUAGGAAAGAUCUCACACUCCCCCAAUUAUCAGUUUAUUAAUGCCUCUUUGAUCAACAAGAUCAUUUGUCACUUGAGUAAGAAAAUAAUAUGAAGGAUAUCAUUGUUCCUCAGAGUUAUUCUGUGGACCAUCUAUGUUAGGCUCAGCUGAUGCUUGUUCAAAAUAUAUAUCAAAGAUACACUACCACACAAAUAGUAAAUCAGAAUAUCUGGGGAUCAAGCCUAGAAAUCUAUAUUUUUAUGAAAUGCCUCUGGUGACUUAAUCACAGGAGCAUGGGACAAUGAUUUAAAUGUUUUUUGGAAAAUAACAAUGUGAAAGUGCUUAGAAAAACCAACAACUAUGACACCGUAGAACACUUGCAGACCCCUAGCAUAUUAUUCAGUGUAGUGCUAGAAAUUUUUGACAAUAAAAAGAAAGGAGGAAAUCAAAUGAUCCCUGUUUACAGAUGAUAUGAUUUAUAUAUACAGAGAUGCCUAAAGACUCCACCAAGAGACUGUUAGAACUAAUAAGUGAAUUAGUUAAAGUUUCAGGAUAUAAAAUAAAUGCACAAAAGUCAAUAGUGUUCUUAUAUGCUAAUAAUGAAGUUGCUAAAAAAGAAUUAUAGGGAUAAUCCUAUUCACAAUAGCUACAAAAUAUGUAAAAUACCAUAAAUUUAACAAUGGACAUGAAAGACCUCUAUAAUGAAAAUUGUAAAACAAUGAUGAGAUAAAUUGAAGAAGAUUAAAAAUGGAAAGAACUCUCAUGUUUAUGGAUUAGAAGAAUUAAUAUUAAAGUGUCCAUGCUACCCAAAGUGAUUUAUAGACUCAAUUUAGUCCCCAUCAAAAUACCAGAAUUACAUUCUUUCAGAACUAGAAAAAAUAAUCCUAGAAUUUAUAAGAUGGCACAAAGCCAAAACAGUCUUGAACAGAAGGAACAAAACUGGAGGUAUCACAAUAACAGAUAUUAAGACGUCCUACAGAGUUACUGUGUCCAAAAUAGUAUGGUGCAUGGUACUGACUUAAAAACAAAUAGACCAAUGGAACAGAAUAGAAUUCUCUGUUCCAUAUGCAGAUGAUUGAAACACUACACAAACCUGCUGACCAGAAUCAACUCAAAAUCGAUUAAAAACCUAAUUGUAAUUUCUCAAAAUACUAGAGGAAACAUAGGAGCAGUACCUCUGUUGUAGCGCAGUGUGCUAUGCUGCCACUUGAAUGCCAGCAUCCCAUAUUGGAGCAUUGGUUUAAGUCCCAGCUAUUCCACUUUGAGUCCAUCUCCCUGCUAAUGUGGCUGGUAAGGCAACAGAAGGUGGCUCAAGUGCUUGGGUCCCUGUCACCCAUAUGAGAGACCCAGAUGGACUUCUUGACUUGUGGCUUCACCCUGGCCUACCCCUGGCUAUUAUGGGCAUUUGGGGAAUGAACCAGUGGGUAUAAGAUACUCUCUGUCUCCCUCCUCUUGCUCUGUCUUCCCCCCGUCUCUCCUCCUUCCUUCCUCUUUGAAAUAAAUAAAUAUUAAAAUAAAAAGUAAAAGAAAACAUAUCCGAAGCACUUUUUAAGACAUGUACACGCAACAGUUAUUUGCCCCCAAAUGUAGGCAACAAAACCAAAAGCGAACAACUGGGAUUAUAUCUAAGUAACUCUGCCCAGCAAUCAACAACUUACAAAAUGGCAGAAAACAUUUGCAAACUGUUCAUCCAACAAAGGAUUAAUAUCCAAAAUAAAAACAGGAGCUCAAUUCAACAACAAAAAACAAUCCAGUUAAGAAGUGGGCAAAGGAUCUGCAUGUACAUUUCUCAAAAGAGUAGAUAUAUUUGGCUAAAAAAUACAUGCAAAAAUAUUGUUAGCCAUAAGAAAUGCAGAUCAAAACCAGUUAGAAUGACUUAUCAAAAAGACAAAAAGUAACAAAUGCUGAUGAGGCUAUUGACAAAAGGAAACUCUUAUACACUGUCCAUGAGAAUACAAAGUAGUGUAGCUGUCAUGGAAAACAGUAUGGAGUUUCCUCAGUAAAAUUAGAUCUACCAUAUGACCCAAUUAUUCCAUUUCUGGAUACAUCUGGAGGAAAUGAAAGUAACCUAUCAAAAGAUGCCUAUAUUCUUAGGUUCAGUGCACCAUGCAUCACAACAACCAAGAUAAGGAAUCAACCUAGAUACCUGACACGUGGAUGAAUGGAUAAAGAAAGUAUGUCUAUACUACACACAAACCGGAAUCUUCGAAAAGAAAUGUUGGCAUGUGGAAGUGAAAAAAAAAAUAGAUCUGAACUUAGAGUGGUGAUUACUAGAGGCUGAACUUGCAAUAGUGAUUACUAGAGGCUGGAAAGAGUAAGGGGUAGGGGGAGAGAGAUUAGAUAAUGGGAACCAAAACUGUUAGAUAGAAGUAAUAGGUUCUUGGCCUGUGCCACUGCUCAGUAGGCUAAUCCUCCACCUGCGGCACCAGCACCCUGGGUUCUAGUCCCGGUUACUCCUCUUCCAGUCCAGCUCUCUGCUGUGGCCUGGGAGUGCAGUGGAGGAUGGCCCAAAUGCUUGGGCCCUGCACCCACAUGGGAGACCAGGAGAAGCACCUGGCUCCUGGCUUUGUAUCAGCACGGUGCGCCGGCUGCAGCGGCCAUUUGGGGGGGUGAACCAACGGCAAAAGGAAGACCUUUCUCUCUGUCUCUCUCUCUCUCACUGUCCACUCUGCCUGUCAAAAAAAUAAAUAAAUAAAUAAAUAAAAUAAAAGAAGUAAUAGGUUCUGGUGUUCCAUUAUGGUAGGGUGACUGUAUCAUGUAACUCUACAGAAUUGCAAGAGAGAUGUAUGCUCCAAACAGAAAAGAUUAAUAAUUACAAAGUUACCUCUCUCUCUCUUCUCUCUACACCUCUCUCUGUAACUCUGUCUUUCAAAUAAAUAAAAACU